rnacentral:sRNA from 1 species
UACUGCAGUGCGCGCCGAAAAGUUGAC